UAGGUUCUCUGUUUGGUUUUAAGGGAGGCCACAACCAGAAAAUCCUAAGUCUGAACUGCAGAAGCUGUGCCAUCAUUCUGUGCAAAAAACCUUUCCCGAACUCCUCACCUGUAUCAAAGGACUUCCCGCGCCCCACUACUGCGGCAGCACGAUCUUUGCAUUUGCUGGUUCACCCUUUACAUGUGGGCAGUGAACAAUGAAUGGGAACUUUGUUCUUCUAACUGCUGGAGGCCAUGGCCUGUGCUGGCCUGGGGAUUCGAAGGCUCUAAGGUCAUGUGUUCCAGAGUAAAAUGAUCUUCCCACAGCUGGGCCUAAGAGGGCCCAGGCUCGUUUACGACUUCUCCCUCCAACAUUUUCAUCUGCAAACACCCACCUCCCAGUUCAAAAUGUCAGAGGGAAGAUUGUUCUCCUGUGGCUCCUCUUUGGUCCUCCUUAACGCUACCCCAAAGACAAUCAGAGAGGCUUGCUACUCCAUCUCCCUUCCUAAAGCAGGAUCACACCUUAAUGCUCUCAGGAGCAUGACAGGUGUCACCAAAAGAGCCAGGUAGCAAGUUAAGGCAGUCUCACCCUGAGCCGUCCCACCUGUUUUACACCCUGGGCCUCUCUCAAGUCAUGUUUGUCAGGAAGAAAAGUCACAAUAUUUUCGGUAGGAAAAAAAUCCUUGAACAAUAUAUGUAGCAGUAAUACUCUGUUGUACUGUCUUGACUUGUUAUCAUUUACAACUAAGAAUUGGAGACUGGGAGUUCCCAUCGUGGCUCAGUGGUUAACAAAUCCGACUAGGAACCAUGAGGUUGCGGGUUCGAUUCCUGGCCUUGCUCAGUGGGUUAAGGAUUCGGUGUUGCUGUGAGCUGUGCUGUAGGUCGCUGACGUGGCUUGGAUCCUGUGUUGCUGUGGCUGUGGCGUAGGAUGGUGGCUGUAGCUUUGAUUGGACCCCUAGGCUGGGAACUUCCAUAUGCCAAGGGUACAGCCCUAGAAAAGACGGAAAAAAAAAAAAAGAAGAAGAAUUGGAGACUGUUCCAUUUGGAACAGAUGGGCAAUGGGGUCCUGCUGUACAGCACAGGGAACUGCGUAUGACUGGGUCGAUUUGCUGUACAACAGAAACUGAAGAAACACUGUAAAUCAACGACACUUUAAUUUAAAAAAAAGGAAUUAUAAUAAAACUAUAAAAAUUUAAAAAUAAAUUAAUUAAUUCAAUUAAGAGUUAGAGUUCCCAUUGUGGCUCAGUAGGUUAAGAACCCAAUGCUGUCUCCAUGAGGAUGCAGGUUCCAUCCCUGGCCCUCGCUCAGUGAGUUGAGGAUCUGGCAUUACCACAAGUUGCAGCCAGCGUAGGUCAGACACAGCUCAGAUCUGGCAUUGCUGUGGUUGUGGUGUAGGCCUGCAACUGCAGCGUCAGUUCGCCCCUUGCCUGGGAACUUCCAUAUGCCUCGGGUGCAGCUGUAAAGAAAAAAAAAUAAAUUAAUGAAUUAAAUAAAACAAAAUUAAGAAUAGUCAUGAAAACAUUCCUUUGAAGAGAUAUAUCCUCCCCUAUGUUCAUCGCAAUACAAUUUACAUCAGUAAUAAUUUCCAAGAAAUGGAACCAACUUCAGUGUCCAUCAACGGAUGAUGGAUAAAGACGAUGCACAUAGACAUGGAAUUCUCCUCAGCCAUUAAAAAAAAAAGCAAAAAAAAAAAAAAAAAAAAAAAAAA
rnacentral:lncRNA from 1 species